GUCUUUUUAGUAUAAACUUAAUACAAGAAACUUCCAAUUUUUUAACCCUGGUUAAACUCCAGGAAAAGAUA
rnacentral:tRNA from 1 species